CCUGAUAUGACUGUAAACGGUACGGCCGCUGGGAAGGGAGUUAGCAACGCAUAACGAACCUACAAGGACAUGCUGAAUAUUAACUUAAGAACCGAAAAAGACCCUCCAUGUCUUGAUGGAUGUUGAACCUAAGUUGGAUUUGGAGCAUGCUUUGGAUUUUUGUAUUACUACUUCUCUCAACAUAAGUCAUUCACAACAUUUACUCAAUAAAUAUUUAUCUACUGUUCUUUA